rnacentral:rRNA from 1 species
GAUGAACGCUGGCGGCGUGCCUAAUACAUGCAAGUCGAGCGAACGGACGAGAAGCUUGCUUCUCUGAUGUUAGCGGCGGACGGGUGAGUAACACGUGGAUAACCUACCUAUAAGACUGGGAUAACUUCGGGAAACCGGAGCUAAUACCGGAUAAUAUUUUGAACCGCAUGGUUCAAAAGUGAAAGACGGUCUUGCUGUCACUUAUAGAUGGAUCCGCGCUGCAUUAGCUAGUUGGUAAGGUAACGGCUUACCAAGGCAACGAUGCAUAGCCGACCUGAGAGGGUGAUCGGCCACACUGGAACUGAGACGCGGUCCAGACUCCUACGGGAGGCAGCAGUAGGGAAUCGUCCGCAAUGGGCGGAAGACUGACGGAGCAACGCCGCGUGGGUGAUGAAGGUCUUCGGAUCGUAAAACUCUGUUAUUAGGGAAGAACAUAUGUGUAAGUAACUGUGCACAUCGUGACGGUACCUAAUCAGAAAGCCACGGCUAACUACGUG